rnacentral:rRNA from 1 species
CCUACGGGGAGCAGCAGUCGAGAAUCAUUCACAAUGGGGGAAACCCUGAUGGGGCGACGCCGCGUGGGGGAAUGAAGGUCUACGGAUUGUAAACCCCUGUCAUGUGGGAGCAAAUUAAAAAGAUAGUACCACAAGAGGAAGAGACGGCUAACUCUGUGCCAGCAGCCGCGGUAAUACAGAGGGCUCAAGCGUUGUUCGGAAUCACUGGGCGUAAAGCGUGCGUAGGCUGUUUCGUAAGUCGUGUGUGAAAGGCGCGGGCUCAACCCGCGGACGGCACAUGAUACUGCGAGACUAGAGUAAUGGAGGGGGAACCGGAAUUCUCGGUGUAGCAGUGAAAUGCGUAGAUAUCGAGAGGAACACUCGUGGCGAAGGCGGGUUCCUGGACAUUAACUGACGCUGAGGCACGAAGGCCAGGGGAGCGAAAAGGAUUAGAUACCCCUGUAGUC